UACGUAGGGUGCGAGCGUUAAUCGGAAUUACUGGGCGUAAAGUGUGCGCAGGCGGCUUCGCAAGUCGAGUGUGAAAUCCCCGAGCUUAACUUGGGAAUUGCGCUCGAAACUACGGAGCUGGAGUGUGGCAGAGGAAGGUGGAAUUCCACGUGUAGCGGUGAAAUGCGUAGAGAUGUGGAGGAACACCGAUGGCGAAGGCGGUUAGCUGGGCAGUUGCUGACACUGAGGCGCGACAGCGUGGGGAGCAAACAGG
rnacentral:rRNA from 1 species